rnacentral:rRNA from 1 species
UGGGGAAUUUUGCACAAUGGGGGAAACCCUGAUGCAGCGACGCCGCGUGAUUUAGAAGGCCUUCGGGUUGUAAAAAUCUUUUUUACGGGAUGAAAAUGACAGUACCGUAAGAAUAAGGUCCGGCUAAAUACGUGCCAGCAGCCGCGGUAAUACGUAUGGGCCGAGCGUUGUCCGGAAUCAUUGGGCGUAAAGGGUACGUAGGCGGCCUAGUAAGUUAGAAGUGAAAUAAUAUAGCUCAACUAUAUAAAGCUUUUAAAACUGCUAGGCUUGAGAGAUGGAAGGGAAAGUGGAAUUCCUAGUGUAGCAGUGAAAUGCGCAGAUAUUAGGAAGAAUACCGGUGGCGAAGGCGACUUUCUGGUCAUCAUCUGACGCUGAGGUACGAAAGCGUGGGUAGCAAACAGG